UCCCAGCAUGCCCUGCUGUGCAGAGCCCAUAUCAAGGCCUGGGGCAGAGCUCUGGGGAAGGGCUGUCUCAGUGAGGAUUUAGAGUGAAUCAUGGAAGCCCCAGUUCAGCUUCUCUGCUUUCUUUCACUCUGGCUCACAGGUACCAUGGGAGAAGCUGUGUUGACGCAGACUCCAGCCUCCCUGUCAUUGUCUCCAGGAGAAAGAGCCAGUCUUACCUGCCGGGCCAGUCAGGGUAUUAGCAACUACGUGGCCUGGUACCAGCAGAAACCUGGACAGGCUCCCAGGCUCCUCAUCUAUGGUGCAUCCACCAGGGCCUCCGGAAUGCCAGACCGGUUCAGCGGCAGUGGUUCUGGGACAGACUUCACUCUCACCAUCAGCAGCCUGGAGCCUGAAGAUUUGGCACUGUAUUACUGUUAUCAGUAUUACAGCGGGUAGCCCACAGUGAUUCAGUGUGAAACAAAAACCUCUGUGAGACCAUUGGUGUUUUCACUUAUACCAGCUGCUUCCUUUAUGUGCACCUGCUGUGGGUGCUGCACAGUUUUAGCGUCUCUGCCUCUCUUUGGAAAUUUUGAGGUUCUAAAAAGUAACUUACUGUCAGAGUUUUGACUGAGACUCCUGGGUUUUCCCUCAAGUUUAGUUGCACAACCAGGUUCAGGUACAAUUUAACUGACAACAGAAUUCAGACUCCUAUGACAGAAUGCUUUUAAAUAUCUGUUGUGCUCAGUGCAAUAGGCAUCAGUGACAGAAAGAAAAAAAAAUUAGAAAUAAUUAAACCUAUCAUAAUUUAUAGAUGAAAAAGUUUUGGAGAGGU